CUGAUCUCAAAUCAGGUAGGACUACCCGCUGAACUUAAGCAUAUCAAUAAGCGGAGGAAAAGAAACUAACAAGGAUUCCCCUAGUAACUGCGAGUGAAGCGGGAAAAGCUCAAAUUUAAAAUCUGGCAGUCUUUGAUUGUCCGAGUUGUAUUCUAGAGAAGUGUCUUCCGCGUUGGACCGUGUACAAGUCUCUUGGAACAGAGCGUCAUAGAGGGUGAGAAUCCCGUCUUUGACACGGACUACCAGUGCUUUGUGAUGCGCUCUCAAAGAGUCGAGUUGUUUGGGAAUGCAGCUCAAAAUGGGUGGUAAAUUCCAUCUAAAGCUAAAUAUUGGCGAGAGACCGAUAGCGAACAAGUACCGUGAGGGAAAGAUGAAAAGCACUUUGGAAAGAGAGUUAAACAGUACGUGAAAUUGUUGAAAGGGAAACGCUUGAAGUCAGUCGCGUUAGUCAGAACUCAGCCUUGCUUUUGCUUGGUGCACUUUCUGAUUGACGGGCCAGCAUCAGUUUUGACUGCAGGAGAAAGGUCAGGGGAAUGUGGCAUCUUCGGAUGUGUUAUAGACUCUGAUUGUAUACUGUGAUUGGGACUGAGGAACUCAGCACGCGCAAGCUGUGCUUAGGAUGCUGGCGUAAUGGCUUUAAACGACCCGUCUUGAAACACGGACCAAGGAGUCUAACAUGCCUGCGAGUAUUUGGGUGGUAAACCCGAGUGCGCAAUGAAAGUGAAAGUUGGGAUCUCUGUCGUGGAGAGCACCGACGCCCGGACCAGACCUUUUGUGACGGAUCUGCGGUAGAGCAUGUAUGUUGGGACCCGAAAGAUGGUGAACUAUGCCUGAAUAGGGUGAAGCCAGAGGAAACUCUGGUGGAGGCUCGUAGCGAUUCUGACGUGCAAAUCGAUCGUCAAAUUUGGGUAUAGGGGCGAAAGACUAAUCGAACCAUCUAGUAG
rnacentral:rRNA from 1 species